rnacentral:rRNA from 1 species
CAAUAGCGUAUAUUAAAGUUGUUGCAGUUAAAAAGCUCGUAGUUGAAUUUUUGCUUGCCGCCGAUGUCGGAACUUCCGUACGUUCGGCGGCGUGCAUCCUUGGGUGGAACCUGUGUGGCAUUAGGUUGUCGUGCAGGGGAUGCUCAUCGUUUACUGUGAAAAAAUUAGAGUGUUCAAAGCUGGCUUACGCCGUUGAAUAUAUUAGCAUGGAAUAAUAAGAUAGGACCUUGGUACUAUUUUGUUGGUUUGCGCACCGAGGUAAUGAUUAACAGGGACAGUUGGGGGUAUUCGUAUUCCAUUGUCAGAGGUGAAAUUCUUGGAUUUCUGGAAGACGAACUACUGCGAAAGCAUUUACCAAGGAUGUUUUCAUUAA